rnacentral:lncRNA from 1 species
AUAAACUAGGAAGUGUGCCUAUUGCAUAGAAGAAGUAGAAUGGGAAGAUUCAAAAUUACUGAAGCAUAAUUAUCUAACAACGAACAAUUCAUUGUGAAUUUUUCAUAUUUCAUGUUUGAGGGGGUUUUCACCACUUAAACGUGAGUUCAGAGCAGCAGCUAAAUUGGAUUGUGCAAAUGCAUCAACUCAAAAUCAAGUUUUGUUCUACAAGCAAGUUUGAUUUGAAGUUAGUAAAUAAAUUCUCUGUUUAAUUUUAUCACAAACUUGCUUUUGAUCAAAGUUUCUAAACAUGAAUCACUUUCUUUUAUAACCCAAUUUUAACAAAAUCAAUUUUAAAAAAUUAAUAUAUCGCCUUCCCAAAUGUGCUGUUAUUAUUCUUUUCUUCUCUUUUCCAUUUAUUCUCAUUGUUACCUAUACACCUGAUAGAAAACCAAUUUAUCAUGUGUGGUAAGUAGUUUUGCUCUUGCUUCUUGCUAAUUGGCUUAUCCGCCAAGUCAUUCUCCACAGCAUAUUUACUCUAUAUUGAUAAAAUUUUCUCAUUAGUAUAUUUCAUUUUUUGUCAGGGUGUAUUCACUGGGAGAUGUGGCACAGCACUAGAUCAUGGUGUCGUGGCUGUUGGGUAUGGUACAGCUAAUGGUCAUGAUUAUUGGAUCGUAAGGAAUUCAUGGGGUCCUAGCUGGGGAGAAGAUGGCUACAUCAGGUUAGAAAGAAAUCUUGCUAACAGCAGAUCAGGCAAGUGUGGAAUUGCAAUUGAGCCAUCUUAUCCCCUUAAGAAUGGUCCAAAUCCACCUAAUCCUGGACCAUCACCCCCUUCACCUGUG